AUUGAACGCUGGCGGCAGGCUUAACACAUGCAAGUCGAACGAGUGGCGGACGGGUGAGUAAUGCUUGGGAAUCUAGCUUAUGGAGGGGGAUAACUACGGGAAACUGUAGCUAAUACCGCGUACUAUAGGAUGAGCCCAAGUGGGAUUAGGUAGUUGGUGGGGUAAAGGCUCACCAAGCCGACGAUCUCUAGCUGGUCUGAGAGGAUGACCAGCCACACUGGGACUGAGACACGGCCCAGACUCCUACGGGAGGCAGCAGUGGGGAAUAUUGCGCAAUGGGGGCAACCUGAUGCAGCCAUGCAGCGUGUAUGAAGAAGGCCUUCGGGUUGUAAAGUUCUUUUGGUAGCGAGGCGGUACCCGCAGAAGAAGCACCGGCUAACUACGUGCCAGCAGCCGCGGUAAUAC
rnacentral:rRNA from 1 species